AACUUCGGGAAACCGGAGCUAAUACCGGAUAAUAUAUUGAACCGCAUGGUUCAAUAGUGAAAGACGGUUUUGCUGUCACUUAUAGAUGGAUCCGCGCCGCAUUAGCUAGUUGGUAAGGUAACGGCUUACCAAGGCAACGAUGCGUAGCCGACCUGAGAGGGUGAUCGGCCACACUGGAACUGAGACACGGUCCAGACUCCUACGGGAGGCAGCAGUAGGGAAUCUUCCGCAAUGGGCGAAAGCCUGACGGAGCAACGCCGCGUGAGUGAUGAAGGUCUUCGGAUCGUAAAACUCUGUUAUUAGGGAAGAACAAAUGUGUAAGUAACUAUGCACGUCUUGACGGUACCUAAUCAGAAAGCCACGGCUAACUACGUGCCAGCA
rnacentral:rRNA from 1 species